ACAACCACAAAGGACGACUUAAACCUGACCCGAGACAGGGUCGGGAAGGCCCCCCACUGCAAGUUUCUUCCAUAAGCCUUCCAGAGACGGACCCCGGAGAAAUUCCCUGGCAGAGAAAGCGACUGGCAGGGACAGCUUUAAGUUGUCCUAACCGAGAACGCACGGACUCUGCUAGUGUGAGGCCGUUUCCCAGCAACCCGGCGGAAUAAACACAAGCAAUGCAUCUACGGAGGAAAUGAAAUCUGAAGCUGAGGAGCGAUGCCAUCAGUGUUGCUGAAAUGAAAGGAAGGACCUGAAUCUGUGGAGGCCAGCCAUUAUUAAACAUGUGUACUCGACUGCAGCUUCUUCCACUCUAACGGAGAUGUGAUGGUGAACCACGUUCAGAACAUCCAUGAACACAGCACGCUGGAACCAGUUAUGACAUACCGUUUACGGUUUGCGAUUGAAAUGAUUAGUGGUCCAGUCUUCAGUGGUGCUAGUUGGUGCCUGGUUUAAUUUGAUUCCAGUGCCUCCAGAAAUAAAAUAUUGUGGAGGUAAAUUUCCCAGAUUUUGCAAAGAGUUAGAAUAAUUUUAUAAAUGGAAAUCACACCAACAUUUGUACUGAAGGAAAUCACAGUUAAUUCUGUAGGGUAAAAAGUCUGUUAUAAAACAGCCAUUUUGGAGAUUAAGAGUAAAAACACAUGAACAAGACAUUUUACAAAUUACAAAAAACAUUACUAGCUUCACGAAGAUAUAAUUUAUUGCAGGGCUGUUUUACUGGACUGUAAUAGUUUUAACUUGGUGUGCCUUAUUAACAGUGAUUAACUAGUAUUUACUGUACAUGGAUAUUCUGUGCAAUCAAAGCUAAUGGCACUUUUUAGUCACAAGGUGGCAGUGUUGCCUCAACACUUCACACAAUACAAGGAAGGACAUAAAUGUGAAACCAGCACAGAAGUCUUGGUUCGCGGUUUUGUGGUUAAUAUCUUUAUUAAUGAAGGCAAAGCCAGAUCAGUCCUACAAUUAAUAUUAUCCUCGGCCAAAGACAUACAGUCACAUUUGUCUAUUUUUAAGAUAUCUAAAAAGAUAUAGAUGAAAUCUGUUAAACAAAUAGGUCUCAGCUUACGCUUGAGGUGUGACUUUUUUGUUCUCAACAUUGCAAGAUAGUAUUUUGAAAAUUGUCACUGUACUCAGUUAAAAGAAUGUUCUGCGUGUAUUUUCAUGUGGAGCCAGUAGAUGUUAAACUAUUAUUCUGUUAAUAAA